rnacentral:lncRNA from 1 species
UUGUCUAUGAAGAAAAACACGGAGCUAAAAAAAAGAAGCUGAACUCAAUUCGUUUCAGUCUCUUCUCUUCUCUCUUACUCCCUACCGAUCUGUCCCAAUCUCGUCGAUUCUGUCCAUCCUCUUUCGCCAGCCCUACGCCGUCUCAACAAAAAUGAACAACAUCUGGACGACGACGUCUCUAAACCAGAGGUCCGUCUUCUCUCUUCGACUUCCCCCGCUUCUUCCAUGGCUGAAACCCUCCAAAAUCCUAACCCUAACAUCUCCGCCUAUUACCAGACUAGGGCCGCUCACCACGCGUCAUCACCAGCGACUGGCUUGCCCAGGCCCAGGUGGCCGUCGGCAAUAAAACUAAUGAAGGCAGAGAGAGCGGGACUAAGAGAUAUUGGACCAAAAGACAGAUAGAGCUAGAGAACGACAGAGAGAGAGAGAGUGAGCGACGAGCGAUCGAUUGCAUCAGGCAGCCAUUCUAGGGUUUUCUUCAACAAAUCUCUGGCUUAAAUCUUCGUUGGUGCAAAGGUAUGUAUGAUUAUUAAGGGUAUUUGUGCGAUUGAUUGUGAUGGGUACGUUUGUUUGUUUAAUUCUAGGUUUUGAAAUUCCACAACUCUCUCUCUCGUUCUCCCUCCCUCUGUCUCUGGUAUUUUGGAUUUGGGGAUUUUCACAAGCAGUUAGUAUGUUUCUCUCUUGUUAGUGAUGGAGUUCAGUUCCAAGUUUAAGGUGUUGAUUUCUCAAGAUGAUUUCCCUCAAUGGUUGACUGGUUGAGUUUGUGUUUUGUAAACUUCUCAUUUUAGUAUGAUAGUGUUAAAUUUUAUCCUAAUUAGAAAUCAUAUGUACCAUUGUAGUUCGCUAGCGGGGCAAAGGUAAUUUUUAAGUUUGCAUAUGAACCGAGGUAUGUUUAAUUUGGUUUUCCUGUGAGCUUGAAUUCCUACUUUAGUAGUUUUAUAAGGCUUCCAUUAGUUAUGGUAGCAUCUUAUAAUACUCUUUGGUGAAUUGCAGGCAUGGAAAAUGAAGGGAUGAGUAAGUCUUAGGAGUUUGUACCAGGCAAGGAUAGUAAUAGUUAUUAGCUUGUCUCCAAUGUCAGUGUGAGGUAACUUCAGUUCAAGCAAAGAUAAUGUUGAUUGUUUGACUGAGAUGAUACACACCCGAAUAAAGAAAAUCAAUGGUGACAUUUCUGAGAUUACCCCUAUUGGAACUAAGCAGAGGACUGCUAAGAUCUGAAUUUAAUCUCAUAGUUCUGCUUAAAAUGUAGUCUUUGAAAGGCUUUGGUGGAGCAUAACUUAUUAUCAAAUAAAAAAAUAGUAGUGGGCAUAAUGUGUCAUGAUCCAUAAAGUAGUGAUCAUCUCCUUGUAAACUGCAAUACACUUUGUUAUAUUGAUACCUGCUCCUCACGUUGAUGUGCCCUUUUAAUGUUUGAAUAUUGCCAAUUUGUCCAUCAAGUAUCUUGCCGUUGUAUACAGAUAACUUCCCCUAGUAAUUCACAUCCUUGUUGCUGCUUCUGAAGGGUUGUGUGCUUCUGUUAGUUGGUUGCAUAUAUUUGGGUUCAUUAGAUGAAGGAUUGCUUUUAAGAUUAACAUUUCAUACAUCACAUAAACACUGUUCAGCUAAUUAGACCUGUCUUGCCUCUCUGUUAUAGCGUUAUCGAUACAUUGAGGCAUAUACAAGUAUACAUAUAAUAAGAUCUGGAGGGACAGAUUUUACAUGAUGGGUUUAUCUAACAAAGAUAUAGUAGCACUAUCAGGAGGACACACACUGGUAAGUUGCAUCUACAAAAUUGUUUUUUGACUCAUACUCUUGUAUAUUUUGCUCCUGGGACAAACUCAAAGCUCUUUUACUCUGAAAUCAUAUUCAUGCAGUUAGCCACUCUUUUGGUGUUUUGUGUGAUAGGGGCCGAGGGGGACGAGGAACUGGGCCAGGCACAGUUUUGCACAAGUGUUACAGCCAAUUCUUCAAGAACUCGCAGAAACUUUGGCUGAAAAGCAUGUUAUCAUUAUCCAAAACAUCAAGAUAAUACACGGAUCUAAGCUAAAAAAAGGUAAUUAAUGGUUGCUGUUUUCCCUUUUCAGGAAAGCCCUUGGGGUUUCAUUAGUAAAAUGUUCUUUAGUUUCUUCUAGCUAUAUAUGUUAAAUUACCUUCAUUGGGUUUUUUGUAUUGGUUCAUCCCGCUCGGUCAAUCUUGAGUUUUCAUUACUAGAAUUCAAGAAUACUUUUGCUGCUAGGGUGAUUUAGAUAUGCAAAACAUGGGGGUUCUCUUAGAAAUUAUGGAAGCUUUUGAUAUGCUGACUGCGAUGAGGUCAAGAGGUUUUACUUUUCUAAUUCAUAUACAUUAAUUUAAUUUUCUAAUUCCUCUGCUCUAGAUUUGUUACCUAUACGUUCCCUGAAUUUCUUUCAUCUUAAAAAUGCUUGUAUGUGUUUGUCUAUACUAUAUUCAACAUAGAGAUUAAGUUUGUGAUAGUUUUGUCUAUUACCAGCGACUAACAGUCUUAAGAAGUAAUGUCAUACAUAUAGAUGCUAGAUAGGUGGACCUUGAGCAAAAGUUUGUAACCAAAAUCAAAACAGUUAUCAAGGGGACUUGCAUUUCCUUCUGAACAGUGUCUGUCCUGCAAGAUUCUGGCAUUGCUUUGUUUGAUACAAUUAUAGACUAAUAGUAAAAACUUAAAACUAAAACUACAACUGCAGAAGAUUUGAAGGUUGUACAUCAUUUUAGUCUAAGUACAGUCUAUACUUCUUCAGCUACUCCUUUGCCUGUAUUUUGCUAUAAUAAGCCAAAAAAUUAAAGAAUUAUACAAAAAAUUUGCGGCUGCAUGACGAUUACUUUUGUACUUUUAGUGGGAUUACUUUGGAAACUUGUAUAACAGUAUGGCUAUUUUCCUGGUGUAAAGGUAAUACAUUAAUUCUUUUCCAUAUUAAAAGCAUAACAGUAUGGCUAUUUUUUUGGUAUAACAGUAUGGCUUAGUGCAGUGCAAUGAGUGCUCAUAAUGGAUUUGUUACAGCAAACGAUGAGAAAAUCUCAAAAUGGGUUUGUUACAGCAAACGAUGAGAAAAUGUCAAAAUCACUGAAGAACUUCUUCACCAUUCGCGAGGUAAACCGACAAAUUGUCUAAUUGUUUUUUCACAUAAUUGUUGUUUUUCACAUAAUUGUUGAAGCAUUGUCUGCAAUCAUGCCUUUUAGAACCUUGUCCAGCUAGUUUAUCUGACAUUCCUAAAUUAGAACCUUGGUAAAAUUCCUAAAUUAGAACCUUGUGGCUCUUGCGUGAUUGAGACUGGUAAAAUUCUUUCAGGAGAAUGCAGCUGCAGCAGCAGAGAAGGCUUGGCUUAUUGAUUUUAACAACAUAAAAGUUGCAAUGUUGCUGAAUAAUGUGAAGUUGAUAUCUCGAGCCCGUUCCCAGGGUAAAGAUCUAUUCAAUAUAGUAGUAAAUAUAUUGAAAAGUGAAUUUGAGAUGUAUGGAUAGUUUGGCAUUAUUGAGAUGUAAACGUAUUGUAUGGUAUUAAUAUUCUUUGUAAUUGGAAUUAAAAAGAAUUAUUGGGAUGUAAACGUAUUGUAUGGUAUUAAUAUUCUUUAUAAUUUUAGCUAUAUAUCAGGCAUUAGCAUAUAUUGCAGGUGCAUUGGUAAUAUAGGUGAAC